AUACGGAGGGUGCAAGCGUUAAUCGGAAUUACUGGGCGUAAAGCGUACGUAGGCGGUUCGUUAAGUUAGAUGUGAAAGCCCCGGGCUUAACCUGGGAACUGCAUUUAAAACUGGCGAACUAGAGUUGAGUAGAGGGGAGUGGAAUUUCAGGUGUAGCGGUGAAAUGCGUAGAGAUCUGAAGGAACACCAGUGGCGAAGGCGACUUCCUGGACUCAAACUGACGCUGAGGUACGAAAGCGUGGGUAGCAAACGGGAGUAGAUACCCUAGUAGUCC
rnacentral:rRNA from 1 species